rnacentral:rRNA from 1 species
UACGUAGGGGGCAAGCGUUAUCCGGAUUUACUGGGUGUAAAGGGAGCGUAGGCGGUGCAGCAAGUCAGAAGUGAAAGCCCGGGGCUCAACUCCGGGACUGCUUUUGAAACUGUUGGACUAGAUUGCAGGAGAGGUAAGUGGAAUUCCUAGUGUAGCGGUGAAAUGCGUAGAUAUCACACAGAACACCGAUUGCGAAGGCAUCUGACGAAUCGGAGAUUGACGCUGAUGCACGAAAGCGUGGGUAUCGAACAGG